CACGUAGGCACCAAGCGUUGUCCGGAUUUAUUGGGCGUAAAGAGCUCGUAGGCGGUUCGGUAAGUCGGGUGUGAAAACUUGGGGCUUAACCCCAAGCCUGCAUCCGAUACUGCUGUGACUAGAGUUCGGUAGGGGAGCGGGGAAUUCCUAGUGUAGCGGUGAAAUGCGCAGAUAUUAGGAGGAACACCGGUGGCGAAGGCGCCGCUCUGGGCCGAUACUGACGCUGAGGAGCGAAAGCGUGGGUAGCAAACAGG
rnacentral:rRNA from 1 species